GUAGGUGGCAAGCGUUGUCCGGAAUUAUUGGGCGUAAAGCGCGCGCAGGUGGUUCUUUAAGUCUGAUGUGAAAGCCCCCGGCUCAACCGGGGAGGGUCAUUGGAAACUGGGGAACUUGAGUGCAGGAGAGGAAAGUGGAACUCCACGUGUAGCGGUGAAAUGCGUAGAUAUGUGGAGGAACACCAGUGGCGAAGGCGACUUUCUGGCCUGUAACUGACACUGAGGCGCGAAAGCGUGGGGAGCAAACAGGGAUUAGAUACCCUGGUAGUCCACGCCGUAAACGAUGAGUGCUAAGUGUUGGGGGGGUUUCCCGCCCCUCAGUGCUGCAGCUAACGCAUUAAGCACUCCGCCUGGGGAGUACGGCCGCAAGACUG
rnacentral:rRNA from 1 species